UCUCCUAGAGCUGCGGAAC
rnacentral:snRNA from 1 species